rnacentral:rRNA from 1 species
GUGGGGAAUAUUGGACAAUGGGCGAAAGCCUGAUCCAGCCAUGCCGCGUGAGUGAUGAAGGCCUUAGGGUUGUAAAGCUCUUUCAGUAGGGAAGAUAAUGACGGUACCUACAGAAGAAGCCCCGGCUAACUUCGUGCCAGCAGCCGCGGUAAUACGAAGGGGGCUAGCGUUGUUCGGAUUUACUGGGCGUAAAGCGCACGUAGGCGGAUUGGUCAGUUAGAGGUGAAAUCCUGGAGCUCAACUCCAGAACUGCCUUUAAUACUGCCAGUCUAGAGUCCAGAAGAGGUGAGUGGAACUCCUAGUGUAGAGGUGGAAUUCGUAGAUAUUAGGAAGAACACCAGUGGCGAAGGCGGCUCACUGGUCUGGUACUGACGCUGAGGUGCGAAAGCGUGGGGAGCAAACAGGAUUAGAACCCUUGUAGUCC